CCGAGGAAAAGAAAUCAACCGAGAUUCCCCCAGUAGCGGCGAGCGAACGGGGAGGAGCCCAGAGCCUGAAUCAGCAUGUGUGUUAGUGGAAGCGUCUGGAAAGGCGCGCGAUACAGGGUGACAGCCCCGUACACAAAAGCGCAUGUGCUGUGAGCUCGAUGAGUAGGGCGGGACACGUGGUAUCCUGUCUGAAUAUGGGGGGACCAUCCUCCAAGGCUAAAUACUCCUGACUGACCGAUAGUGAACCAGUACCGUGAGGGAAAGGCGAAAAGAACCCCGGCGAGGGGAGUGAAAAAGAACCUGAAACCGUGUACGUACAAGCAGUGGGAGCACCCUUUGGGGUGUGACUGCGUACCUUUUGUAUAAUGGGUCAGCGACUUAUAUUCUGUAGCAAGGUUAACCGUAUAGGGGAGCCGUAGGGAAACCGAGUCUUAACCGGGCGUUAAGUUGCAGGGUAUAGACCCGAAACCCGGUGAUCUAGCCAUGGGCAGGUUGAAGGUUGGGUAACACUAACUGGAGGACCGAACCGACUAAUGUUGAAAAAUUAGCGGAUGACCUGUGGCUGGGGGUGAAAGGCCAAUCAAACCGGGAGAUAGCUGGUUCUCCCCGAAAGCUAUUUAGGUAGCGCCUCGUGAAUUCAUCUCCGGGGGUAGAGCACUGUUUCGGCUAGGGGGCCAUCCCGGCUUACCAACCCGAUGCAAACUGCGAAUACCGGAGAAUGUUAUCACGGGAGACACACGGCGGGUGCUAACGUCCGUCGUGAAGAGGGAAACAACCCAGACCGCCAGCUAAGGUCCCAAAGUCAUGGUUAAGUGGGAAACGAUGUGGGAAGGCCCAGACAGCCAGGAUGUUGGCUUAGAAGCAGCCAUCAUUUAAAGAAAGCGUAAUAGCUCACUGGUCGAGUCGGCCUGCGCGGAAGAUGUAACGGGGCUAAACCAUGCACCGAAGCUGCGGCAGCGACGCUUAUGCGUUGUUGGGUAGGGGAGCGUUCUGUAAGCCUGUGAAGGUGU
rnacentral:rRNA from 1 species